AACGAACGCUGGCGGCGCGCCUAAUACAUGCAAGUCGAGCGAGAAGACGUAGCAAUACGUUUGUAAAGCGGCGAACGGGUGAGGAAUACAUGGGUAACCUACCCUCGAGUGGGGAAUAACUAGCCGAAAGGUUAGCUAAUACCGCGUACGCUCCUUGGACUUCGGUUCAGGGAGGAAAGCGAUACCGUGGGUAUCGCGCUCAUGGAUGGGCUCAUGUCCUAUCAGCUGUUGGUGAGGUAACGGCUCACCAAGGCUUCGACGGGUAGCUGGUCUGAGAGGACGAUCAGCCACACUGGCACUGCGACACGGGCCAGACUCCUACGGGAGGCAGCAGUAAGGAAUAUUGCGCAAUGGGCGAAAGCCUGACGCAGCGACGCCGCGUGGGGGAUGAAGGUCUUCGGAUU
rnacentral:rRNA from 1 species